rnacentral:rRNA from 1 species
UACGAAGGGGGCUAGCGUUGUUCGGAUUUACUGGGCGUAAAGCGCACGUAGGCGGAUUGUUAAGUCAGGGGUGAAAUCCCGGAGCUCAACUCCGGAACUGCCUUUGAUACUGGCAAUCUUGAGGCUGGAAGAGGUUAGUGGAAUUCCCAGUGUAGAGGUGAAAUUCGUAGAUAUUGGGAAGAACACCAGUGGCGAAGGCGGCUAACUGGUCUAGAUCUGACGCUGAGGUGCGAAAGCGUGGGGAGCAAACAGG